UAGGGAAUCUUCGGCAAUGGACGGAAGUCUGACCGAGCAACGCCGCGUGAGUGAAGAAGGUUUUCGGAUCGUAAAGCUCUGUUGUAAGAGAAGAACGAGUGUGAGAGUGGAAAGUUCACACUGUGACGGUAUCUUACCAGAAAGGGACGGCUAACUACGUGCCAGCAGCCGCGGUAAUACGUAGGUCCCGAGCGUUGUCCGGAAUUAUUGGGCGUAAAGAGCUCGUAGGCGGCUGGUCGCGUCUGUCGUGAAAUCCUCUGGCUUAACUGGGGGCUUGCGGUGAGUACGGGCCGGCUUGAGUGCGGUAGGGGAGACUGGAACUCCUGGUGUAGCGGUGGAAUGCGCAGAUAUCAGGAAGAACACCGGUGGCGAAGGCGGGUCUCUGGGCCGUUACUGACGCUGAGGCUCGAAAGCGUGGGGAGCAAACAGGAUUAGAUACCCUGGUAGUCCACGCCGUAAACGAUGAGUGCUAGGUGUUAGACCCUUUCCGGGGUUUAGUGUCGCAGCUAACGCAUUAAGCACUCCGCCUGGGGAGUACGACCGCAAGGUUG
rnacentral:rRNA from 1 species